GUAGGGUGCGAGCGUUAAUCGGAAUUACUGGGCGUAAAGCGUGCGCAGGCGGUUAUAUAAGACAGAUGUGAAAUCCCCGCGGCUCCACCCGGGGACCUGCAUUUGUGACUGUAUAGCUAGAGUACGGUAGAGGGGGAUGGAAUUCCGCGUGUAGCAGUGAAAUGCGUAGAUAUGCGGAGGAACACCGAUGGCGAAGGCAAUCCCCUGGACCUGUACUGACGCUCAUGCACGAAAGCGUGGGGAGCAAACAGGAUUAGAUACCCUGGUAGUCCACGCCCUAAACGAUGUCAACUGGUUGUUGGGUCUUCACUGACUCAGUAACGAAGCUAACGCGUGAAGUUGACCGCCUGGGGAGUACGGCCGCAAGGUUG
rnacentral:rRNA from 1 species